rnacentral:rRNA from 1 species
GACGAACGCUGGCGGCGUGCCUAAUACAUGCAAGUUGAGCGCUGAAGGUUGGUACUUGUACCAACUGGAUGAGCAGCGAACGGGUGAGUAACGCGUGGGGAAUCUGCCUUUGAGCGGGGGACAACAUUUGGAAACGAAUGCUAAUACCGCAUAAAAACUUUAAACACAAGUUUUAAGUUUGAAAGAUGCAAUUGCAUCACUCAAAGAUGAUCCCGCGUUGUAUUAGCUAGUUGGUGAGGUAAAGGCCCACCAAGGCGAGGAUACAUAGCCGACCUGAGAGGGAGAUCGGCCACAUUGGGACUGAGACACGGCCCAAACUCCUACGGGAGGCAGCAGUAGGGAAUCUUCGGCAAUGGACGAAAGUCUGACCGAGCAACGCCGCGUGAGUGAAGAAGGGUUUCGGAUCGUAAAACUCUGUUGGUAGAGAAGAACGUUGGUGAGAGUGGAAAGCUCAUCAAGUGACGGUAACUACACAGAAAGGGACGGCUAACUACGUG